UCCCUUGUCUUGUUUAUAUGUGUGUGGUUUUGGGACACUUCUUUCUUGUGAGGGCAUGUAAGUUGAAAAGGUGGUGAUCUUGCAAAUUCCUAAUUGAGUCAAGUGAGCAUGUGAAAGAGUUAAUGAGUUGAGUCAUUUCUUGAGUUUGAGUUGUUGUCACUUAAAUGAUUCUUGGUUUUUGAAAAUGUUUCAUGAGAAUGAGAGGAUUUCUUUUGUGAAAAGUUUGCAUGUGGACUAUUUAUCAGUACCAACCGAAGCCAUUACCUUUUUGCUUAAUUGAAAAAGGGAAACUGAUUUGUGGUGUGUUUUGAAGCAAGAGCCUCUUGUGUUUGACCGCGACUCUUAGUUGGCUAUUUUUUGGACCCACAAGAACAUACAAUUUAACAUAAGUUAAACGAAACAGAAAAGUUCUCAAAUAGCAUAAAAAAAUUAGAGUUACGGGUUCAAAAACCAUAGUAAUUUGUGGUUUUCGAGUUCAUCGGAGUUCAUUGGAGUCCUAAUCCUGGGGGUGGUUCAACUUCGUAGUCAAAGCUCGUUGUUCCCAGUCGCUGUUCCAGAAAAGAUAAAUCAUUCUGAAUGGGCUUGAGAGAGUCAUUCGCCUUACAAUUUUGCCAAAGCGAAACUAUCCAACGAGUAUGGCAUGGAAUUCAUUUCGUGAUAGGCGAGAAGGAUAUUUUGAUAAAGCUGUUGUUAUAAGUACCCUAAACUAGAAGCAUCUGGAAUGCUUUCAUUGAUGCCGACUUCUGGUCGUUGCUAAUUGCUUUGCUCAUAAAAGGGAGGCUAGGUUUUGUGAAUGGAACUUCCAAAAGGGAGUUACAGAAAACUGAUAUUUGAAAUCUAUGGGACAAAUAUGAAAAUAUUGUGCAUUUGUGGAUCAUGAAUUCAGUUUUGAAGAGUUUACUGAACGAGAUAAUAUAUGGAUCAAAUGCACAUGCAGAGUGGGAAGAUCUAAAGGAACACUUCAACAAAGUGAAUCACAUAAGAAUCUUUCAGUUGCAUAAAGACACCAGACCAUCUCAAGAAAAUUUCCAAGGUGGUGAGCACAUGGGCUUUUGUGGUGGUAGAUAACAAGAUUAUGUCCCAGUAUUGCCCCAUCCUUUGGAGCUCGGAGCAAAUAUUGUGAUGCAUUCAGCUACUAAGUUCAUAUCCGGUCAUAGUGAUUUCAUGGCUUGUGUACUUGUCGUCAGAGGAGAAAGCUUGGCGAAAGAGGUUGUACAUCCUACAAAUUGCUGAAGGUGCAGGGUUAGCGUCAUUCGAUUGUUGGCUUUGUUUGAGAGGAAUCAAAACAAUUGAUCUUCGCAUUGAAAAAUAACAAGUUCAAUUUUAUUUGAUUUUUUUUUUUGGUGAAAUUAGUUGUCUCACCACUCGUUCUAGAAA